CGGAGUCAGAAAGGAAAACGGAGGAAAAGGAGGAGAAAAUGAAGCUGUUUCUGAAUAAACUCUCAUUUAAAACUAUGACAGAAGCGAUGUCUGGUGGCCACAAAUGGCCAAUGACUCAGAAAGGGUUAUGAGAGAAUGCAGGAUGUGCCAGAACUAAGGCUCUAAAUUUCUCCCUGGAGUUGAUGAAAUUCUUCUCAUGCAUCCACAUUGACUUUUUCAGGGGAGCUCGUUUCACAACCUAGGGGCAACAGAGAAAGCGCUAUCCCAGUUCGCAACUAGGUGAACCGGUGGCACACGAAGAUGGACCCCCUCCUGAUGAUCUUAAUGAGUAUGGGGGGAUCUUGUAGAGAAAGGCACUCUCUCAGAAUUUUCUCUAGGUGAUUUCUGGGAUCAGCAAAAACACAGAGUGACUCACAUAUCCUUGCUUUUUGAAACCAUGGGCAUACUUGGAUGCGCAUCCAAAGACAAAUCUGAAUGAAGAUGCUGUCUUCCUAUUUCAUUGCUUUUACUGGGAUGAAUGUUCUUAAAAACCCAAUUAGUUUGUGCAAAAGUAUAUGUAUUCAGUCACUAUUUUCCCUCUGUGAAAUCUCUUUUAAUCUGAGCAAUUAAAAAAAGGAUCUCUCAGGUUAAAAUCUCUUUUAAUCUGAGCAAUCAAAAGCAUAGCAGGCCAUUUUUAUUUUUAUUUUAUUUUGCAAUUGAAAGUAAAUCAGAAUUGAACAGAAGGUGUGUUUUGGAUAAUCAUCUGCAACAGUGAAAAUACAAUAUUUGCAUUGUAAACCACUAUUGUAUUACUGCAAGAUCCCUAGAAGAGGGUUAUCAAGUACCAAGUGUUCACAUGAUAAAUAAAGAGAUGUACUGUAAACCA